rnacentral:rRNA from 1 species
AGUGAACGCUGGCGGUAGGCCUAACACAUGCAAGUCGAACGGCAGCACAGUAAGAGCUUGCUCUUACGGGUGGCGAGUGGCGGACGGGUGAGGAAUACAUCGGAAUCUACUUUUUCGUGGGGGAUAACGUAGGGAAACUUACGCUAAUACCGCAUACGACCUACGGGUGAAAGCAGGGGAUCUUCGGACCUUGCGCGAUUGAAUGAGCCGAUGUCGGAUUAGCUAGUUGGCGGGGUAAAGGCCCACCAAGGCGACGAUCCGUAGCUGGUCUGAGAGGAUGAUCAGCCACCCUGGAACUGAGACACGCUCCAGACUCCUGCGGGAGGCAGCAGUGGGGAAUAUUGGACAAUGGGCGCAAGCCUGAUCCAGCCAUACCGCGUGGGUGAAGAAGGCCUUCGGGUUGUAAAGCCCUUUUGUUGGGAAAGAAAAGCAGCAGGUUAAUACCCCGCUGUUCUGACGGUACCCAAAGAAUAAGCACCGGCUAACUUCGUG